AUCUUUACUGACGUGCCAGCUCCUGUCUGCCCACGAGUACGACUGUUAGGUUGUAUGGUUCUUUCCUGAUUGAGUUUCAGCAUCCUUUUCUAUAUUUUAGCAGAUGUAAAACCCCAGGUUCAAUCCUCAGCAACAAAAUAAAUUUAAACAGACCCAGGAGCCAUAAGGAAAACCUAAGCAGACGUCCGGGCUCCCCUCACAGUCCCUGGAUUCAAGAGAUAGAAACUCCUCAUAGACUUCUCCUAAGCAGGGUCUUCUGAGGAGGGUGGGCAUCACGGGUGCCUCUUGGAUGCCCAGGGAGGUGAGUCCUGCCUGGUUAGAGUCUGCAUAGAGACCCGUCCACUGAGCAUUGUACUCAGUGGUGCCUAGAUUUCCUUGAUAUCUACAGUAUGCAAGACUCCACACUACUUGCUGGUAGCAUAGAACCCUUGACAACUGCUUCUCUGAAAAAGGACUUGUCAUCUGUCCCAGAAGGCAACUGAAAGUGGGCAGAGGCCUGAGCUCUCUGCCUGCAUUGUGCAUCUAUCUGCUUUGUCUCUCAGCUUCAGGCAACAAUCCCUCUGAACUCUUCAGAUGGGCGCACUGAUCUCAUAAGGAGUGUCUGUCUAAAGCGGCAGGCUCCUCACCCACCUCAGCCCCUUUGAAACUGACGAUUCCACAACCAGGGAAAUGGGGUGUUUUAUGUCAGCUGCCUGGGAGUCUCCAGGCAUUGUCCUGAGCCUGCAGCCAUCUUGGAUUCAUCAACUUCAGGGCUUCAUUGACAGAUACAUGGGAGCAGAGUUGUCCUCACAAACAUCAAGGACAUCCUUCUUCACUCUGCAGCUUGGGAACUCCGUGAUCAACUGGACCACUUGGUAACCAAGGAUCCUCAGGAAGGCUCCCAGCAGUACAGAUGAAAUUAAAAAUUUUUCCAGAGAAUAUGGAUUAUAAAAAUGCUUCAAAGGUCUCAGAGGUGGAUGAAACUAUAGAAAAAGACCUCCGAACCUGCUCUUCCCUCAUCACACACAUCAAGGGGAUCCCGGCAGGUGUGAUCUCUGGCUUUGUCUGUCAGCUGGAGGAAGAGGCCCACCUGGUAAGGCUGUCUUUACAGAGGCAAAGAUGACCAGGUGCAGUGACCAGCAGCUGUCAACUCCGGUCUCACCUCUGUACCUCCCCCCUUCAUACGGCCGCCUGUGGUGACAUGAGCGGAUGAUGGCAAGAUGUCCACAGAAGACAAAGUCACUCUCCAGUCAAGCAGUGACACAGAGAGGAGAGACAGGACAGGAGGCAUGGGCUAUGUGUCUGCUUCUCAGCUUCACAGGACCUGCAAUCAUCCAGGGGACACACGCCUGGGUGCGUGUUUCCAGAGAGGUUUAACUGAGGACAGAAGACGUGAGUGGCGCCAUCUCUUGGGCUGUGGUCCUGAGGAUGAACUGUAAAGAAGACAGCUAAGCAUAGCAUUCAUCGCCCUUUGCUUCCUGACUGGGGUGCAGUGUGGCCGGUCACCUGUGACUCUUGUCACCAUGCUUUCCCUACAACAAUGGAUGCUACACCCUGAAACUGGGAGCCAAAGUAAACCCUCCUUCCCUUGACUUGCUUUUUGUUGACUAUAUGGUCACAGUAAUGAGAGGCACCAUUAAAGCCAGCCCUGCAUCUCAAGAUGGCUUCCCGACCGCUUGGGCUCUUGGCUCUGCUCUCUCUGCCGCCUUUCCUUUACCGGAAGGGUUGUGGCACAGCUGUUUCCCCAGACAAAACAUGAACAUCAGCAUUGUGCAGCAAAGAUUCCUGUGCUGGACCUACAACGAGACAUUUCAGUGCUAGCUAGAUCUGUGGUUGUAGUAACAGUCUGCUAGUGCUCUCUCUUAGAAGGAGGGAACUCUUCUGACACUCCGCCCACCAUCACCUUCCAGCUUCAUCUGGCCUGGGUCGGAAUGUGUGUGUGUGUGUGCAUGUAAAUACUUGCAUAUGUGUGUGUACAUGUGUGUGUGUGUGCAUGUGUGUGAGUCUGUGCAUGUAUGUUUGUGAAUACGUGUAUGUGUAUGAGAGUGUGUGGUGUGUAUGAGUGUGUAUGUGCAUGUAUGUGUGUGGGUAUGUGUGCAUGUAUGUGUGUUAGAGUACAUAUGAAGUAGAAAUCAACCUGAUCAGUGCUCUGGUGGUGCAGCCACGGUGAGACCUUCUCCAUGGGUUCUGAGCCUAUCCAUACCCACAUUAAUAACCCCAAUAAACUCUCUGGUUCACUGAGCUGGGCUGGGGUGGAAUCAAGCCUUGGUCUCUCGGAGCCCUGUGUAGGGUGAAAAACAUUGCUUUACAUCUGCCAAGGGAAAGCAGCAGCCAUAAGCAAUGGCCCGGGUGUGCAGUCAAGGAGCCUUGACAGUCUGCUCUACCUAGUCUACAUUCGGGUCCGAAGGCCUCCUGGCGUUUGAAAUAUUUCUGCCAUUUCAUUUUAAGCUGGCUCAUUUCCUUUAUAAUUUCUAUAGGUUUCCUGUCAUCAAUUAUAUGCUGGCAUUUCUAAUUGUCAAAGACCUUAUUGUCCAUCAAAAGUCACAUAAAAAACAGCCCCUAAUAUCCUUAAAAGUCCUCUCACCUGCUGGGUAGUGGUGGCGCACGCCUUUAAUCCUAGCACUCAGCAGGCAGAGGCAGGUGGGUUUCUGAGUUCGAGGCCAGCCUGGUCUACAGAGUUCCAGGACUGCCAGGGCUACACAGAGAAACCCUGUCUUGAAAAACCAAAAAUAAACAAAUAAAAAAAUGUCCUCUUAUCCAAGGGCUGGGAGAGAGCUCCACUGGUGGAGCACUUGCCUAGAAUUCACAAGGACCUGCGUUAAAUCGCUGGCAUUGCACAAAAUGGGCAUAGAGGAUUAUGCCUGCCACCCCAGCACUUGGGAGGCAGAGGAAGGAGGACCUGAAGUUUAAGGUCUCCUUGGCUGUGCAGAAUGUUUGAGGCUAGCCUGGGCUACAUAAAACACUGUCAAGAACAGAAAAGAAGAGAGGAUGUGGGGAGGGCGGAGGAAGAGGAUAAGAAGGGAGAUGAGAAAGACUGUCUUGGCUAACUGGGAAGGUCUACAAAGAAACUUCUCAGUCCUCCAAAAGGGUCUUACAGCCCCGGGACUUCAUCUUGCCUGACAACCGUGUUUUACCUGUGUAAACCAGGGGGCACAGUAAAGAAACUGCCUACAAGACUGCUCCAUGGUGUGGUUGAGUGAAAGAUUUUUGUUGUAGGUAAAACAGAGAAAGCAUCCAGAGGCAGUGGGAAGAGUCCAGAGCAGGGAGAAAAGAAAGCAUGCAGGAGGUGGCCAGGGCUUGCCGUCAGAGGGGGAGAAUAGCAAGAGGUAGAGGGAACCGUGAGACCAGCGUGUAGCCAGGGGAGCGGGCAGAGGGUAUGAAGAGAGCAGGAAGCUGGGGUGUGAGGGUCAGAAUGCUGGGGGUCUUGGAAAUGUCUAACUGGCACACACAUGUAAGGGCUGAGUGAGCCUGGAGGCCAUCCCCGGAAUUGAAAUGUCCCUUCUGCCAGACAUAAGGGAAGUGACUCCUUUCUGCAGACAUUCCUGAGGAAUGCCGGCUUUUAUUUAUGUGCUAG